GCCCAGAUGGUGGAAUUGGUAGACACGCGGGACUCAAAAUCCCGUGAUAGCAAUAUCGUGAGAGUUCGAUUCUCUCUCUGGGCA
rnacentral:tRNA from 1 species